rnacentral:lncRNA from 1 species
GUUCACUUAGAAAGUUUGAAACACCAUGAAGUUCACCUACACUUUAUCCCUUUUGGUUUUGUGCCUAACUUUAUCCUUAACCUUCACCAAUGCUGCAAAUUUCAACAUUAUAAACCAAUGUACCUACACAGUUUGGGCAGCUGCUUUCCCAGGCGGUGGCAGGCGGCUCGACCGAGGCAAAUCAUGGUCCCUAAACGUGGCUCCUGGCACCACCCACGCUCGCAUUUGGGGCCGAACCAAUUGCAACUUUGAUGCCAAAGGCCAAGGCCACUGUCAAACAGGUGACUGCAAAGGGCGCCUCGAGUGCCAAGGCUAUGGAAGUCCUCCAAAUACGAUAGCUGAAUUCUCCCUAAACCAGCCUAACAACUUAGACUACAUCGACAUUUCCAACGUUGAUGGAUUCAACAUCCCAAUGGAGUUCAGCUCCGUUACUCGUUGCCGUAAUAUCAGAUGUUCAGCGCCUAUUGUUGAUCAAUGCCCAGCUAAGCUAAGAACUCCAGGUGGAUGCCACAAUCCGUGCACUGUUUUUAAAACAAAUGAGUAUUGUUGCACCAAUGGCCCAGGAAGCUGCCGCCCGACCGACUUCUCCAGGUUCUUUAAGAGCAGGUGCCCUGAUGCUUAUAGCUAUCCUCAAGAUGAUCCCACAAGCUUGUUUACUUGCCCAAGUGGUACAAAUUAUAGGGUUGUCUUCUGCCCUUAAAUAAAGCUAGAUAUUUAAGGUUCUUGUGACAGCUUAUAUGCCCAACAACUUUACCAGAAAAGUAGAUUAUGAGAAAUAAACGCAUAUGUGAACCUUGUGGUAAUGGUUCACUGGAAUUGGGAUAAAUUUGAGCACAUAUAGCAUUGUGCGAUUUGUCUUCUUUAUCAGCAUUUUGGCUCUUUAAACAACUUAUGAACUAGAUGACCAGUUCAAAACUAAUGAAGUUUUACUAAAUUAAUCUGUAAGAAGGAUUUACAGAUCUCUUGUUUUAAAUUAGAUUGUCAAAAUACUUUGUUCCCCGCACUUCAAAAAAUUGAUUCAUGUUUUGGUUUAACUUACAUAGGAGAAUUCCUUUUUUUUUUUUUUUUAAUUUAGACGAUCUCUCCAGUCAAACACUAAGAUGUCAUAUAACUCAAAAUAAUUUGUUUAAGUUUAUUACACAAUCAUACUUCAUGUAUAUAAAUGUUACCACAAAAUCAAGAGUAAGAAAAGUUUGUCUUUCAACAAUUGAAGAAAUGGAAGCUUGGUGUAAAUUCAAAACAAAAAUGGAGAUUUCUAUACUAAGGUAAACCCCAAAACAAUUGAAAAUGAUAAUCUCAUGAAAUAACAAAGAUGGUGAUAUGAAAGAUUACUAAGUAAGAUAAAGGUGCGAUUAAGGCGUUCAAUCGAGGAAACUUGUAGAUGCCAAAUUGGCAAUGUGAUGCACAUAUGCUUAAAGUAUUCAACCAUUCAUUCUUAAAAGUUGGAAUUGGGCCGAUGCUAUGUCCGAUUGGAUAUUUAUUACAUUAUACUGUUAUAUUCAUGGAAACAGUGAUGUAAAUGAAUAAAAUAUUUCAUCUAUAGUGAAUAUAAUAUUAGGGUAAAUUAUUUAUAAUCCCUAUGUAAUUUUACAUAAUGUCAGAUAAUCCCUCUAAUGUUUCAAAAUAGUCACAUAAUCCCCUUUGAUUUUAUGUAAAGUAGAGAAUGGAUGAAACGAACAAUCAAUUACAAUGUGUAUACCAAACGUGCUCUAAAUACAUGUGUCAUAAUCUUUUCGUUUCCAUGUAACCCCCUUAUGAGUAGUAUAAUUACCCACUUUACCCCCUAUAAUGUUUGCAUUUAUCCAAAUAAUCUUCUAUGCUUUUAUAUAAGAUAAUUAAGCUGUCAAUUGAUUUAGUAUUUAUUUAAGGGCACUAUUAAUAUUUUAAUUAAUGAUAUUACAUAGGCUAUUUUCUAUUAAAUUUCCCCUUUACAUGAAAUCAUAGGGAGUUGAAGUAGAUAUUUUGAAACGUUAGAGGAGUCAUGUGACAAUAGACGAAACCAUAGGGGGGUCAUAUAUAAUUUACCUAUAAUAUUAUAAUGUAGUUGUACACCAAAAAUUUAAACAUGCACAAUAAUGCAACCAAAUUGCACAAAAAACCCAGCAUCCCGUUCGCUAAAAUUAUGUAUGGGGAAAGAGAUAAAUGUUACUGUAAGGAUAAAAUAUGAAUACUAUUCGGCAAAUUCAGAACUUGACAGUUACGAUGGAUUCCCGGUCGAGGAUAAAUGUUACUGAACAUAUGUAAGGAAAAUAAAUAUGGUAAAAUUUUGCCUUAAAGCAUUACCAGUAGUCAUCCUUGCAAAUUUUAUUGCUGAGGGAGACCAAUUCAAUUAGGAUGGAAUGAUUUCACAUGUGUAGUCGCACCUAUGACAUGAGGGCAAGCCAUGGAUGUUCCAGAUAAUAUAUAUACUCUAAAGAUGGUGAACCAGUUGGAGGAUAAGCAGCUAAGAUGUCUACUCCUGGAGCACUUAUAUCUGGCUGAACAAAGUAGCUAAUCUUGAUGUAAACAUUGAUGAAUAAAAGCAACUACUAAAGGGAAUUCCAAAACAGAGUUGAGUACCUUUAAAAUAUCUGGAAAGAUUUGAUUUGGACCUUUAGAAGAGAAGGAAGCAAUGGCUGGAGCACCAGUAGUUUGUGUAGGUGAGUAUGCUGGCUUGAGGCUGACAGGUGUCGAGCCUGUGCAAUAAAAAAUACCUACUCGAGAAAAAUGAAUUUUCUGUGUAUAGUAGUGAGUAGGGUCGAAUCCACAGGGACUGGAAAAAAAUUCGAUUCUUUUCAAGUUCGGGACACGGGGGAUUUUUAUCAGAUAAAACUAAAAAUAAAUAAUUAAACAAUUUAACUAAAAAUAAUUAAACAAUUUAACCAAAGAUAAAUAAUUAAUUAAUACAAUUGUAAAUAGCAAUUAAAUAAAUAAUAAAUAAAUUCUAGCCAAGGAUACAACUACGCAGACACAGUUCAUUCAUCCGAUUAUUGAUGCAAAGAAGGUUCACUUAAUUUAAUUAAUAGGCUAGUUAUAGUCGCCGAUAAGCUCUAACGACCAGCUUUUCCUUAAUUUAUUGAUAACCAAGGUACGACCGUUGAUUACCUCUAACUAGAAAAUACUCCUAGGUACGACCGUAGGAAUUAAUUUCCUAAUUGCAUUAAAAACUAGAAAAGCCUAACCCAAAUUAAUAACACGCUACGAGGGUUAUUUAAAUCAGAUUGCAUGUUCUCCUAGUAUGUGAAAAUACUAGUUGCCACUAAUAUUAACCAACUAAACAAUUACGGAUUUAAUUGAUUAAUUUGACAAGAGAUUAAAAAGUCAAAUUGCACAUCGGGCCCUUGAUAUCCAAUUAACAAAAUAAUCCCAUGGAAAUUAAAAUAGAAAACAUGCAAAUAUUAACAAAUUAAGGAACAUGUAAAAUUAAUUAGAUCUCACAGAUAUUUGGGACUGCGUCUUCGCGUUGAUCCUUGACUAGAGGAGAAAAUUAGCCACGCCUCAUAAGAAAAUCUUCACACAAUUCAAUUGAAUUUAAAGACAUCAUCUUUCUUCGAUAAUUGAGAGAGUGAAUAACAAAGCUCUCAGAAGAGAAUAAGAAAAUUGCACACUAGAAUUCAACAAACCAAAACAACUCCCUAUUCUCUCCUCUGGAACAUCCCUCGGAGAGAAAAACUAAAACUCCUCUUCCCAGACGGAAGAGAGGAAGAAAAACUCACCCCCGAAAUGUGCGGCUCUCCCCCGCAUAAAAACAAGCCAAUUCCAAACUUCACUCCACGCUCACAAAAGAAAAACAUUCCUUCCUUACCUAAUCAACUCCACCGAAAACAAAAGCAAAGCCAACUAUGGUUUGUCGGUUCCCUUUGACCAAGUGCACACGUUCACAAAUAAGAGAGCAAACCAAAAAUGUGCAAAGAAAGCACACUUUAGACAAUACAACUUAUUUGCGGUCCCCACUAACUUUGACAUGUUGUCUAGCCAAAUUGAAUUCCCAAAUGCAAUUCCAUUCUUCUACGUUGGUUUGCACCAAAAUUGUGCAAAGUUCCACAAUAAUCUUCUCAAGAGGUUUCUGCUCCCAUUUCUGAAAUUAUAUCCAAAUACCAAAUAUAAAUAUAUAUUGACAAUUAAAACAAAUUAAAGCAAUAUUUGGCAAGGAUAAAAAGGAAAAUUAACAAUAAAAUUACUAACAAUUAACAUCCUAUCAAUUCCCCCCACACUUAAAUCAUGCUUGUCCUCAAGCAUGGGAACAACUAAAUUCAACAAUGGCUAACUCUCAUUUCAUUUACUGCCAAGCUAUGCUUAUCCCAAAAUCAAGUUUUAGUGGCUAAGUGUCAAGACAUAUUUCUCCCGAUUAGCUCCUGAAAUCAUAGACUCGUCCAAUUCAUGGCUAACUCGUCUAAGAAAUUAAAAUAUUAAACUAGCAAAAGUUAGCAAUUGGGUCAACUGAAAAUCAAAAUCUCAACAUUGAAGAACAAGGAUCGGCAGGCCAAUAUGAUCAUAAGUUUACACAUUAUUUUAUUCUCUCUCUCUUUUUUUUUUUUUUAACAAUUAAUUUUUUUUUUUCAAAAAUGCUCAGUCCCAAGCUAUUCAAGUCUUUUGACGUGAACUCUGACAUUUUUAGAUGAAAGAGCCCAGUUACUCAACUUUUCACAGCUUCAGGACUAACUACUCAUAGAUAUCGCCACUUUUUGACGCGAAAGUCGACACUUGUGGUGAAGACUCCCGGUUAUUGGGUGACGGCACUAGCGGAGUAGAGUCAUUUAUUAAUCACAAUUAAAGUAUCAGAAUACCAGAUAAUUAAAGAUCAUGGCCCACGUCAUCUCCUAAUAUGGAGAACUAAGAUCAACAAUUGCCCAAUCCACAUAACAAUUGCUAAUAAAAUAUUUAAAUUGCCUAAACAAGUUAAUCACAAUUUGCACCAAGUCAUUAAACUCAUGAUAUUCACCAAGAUAACAUGCGUUUACUUGCCAUCUAAACAAAAUUCAUAGGAUAAAUCACAACCAGCAAUAAACGAAUGAAUUGCCAUAUUUAUUCAUCAAAACACUAGUAAGAAAGGCAGUAAAUUAAAGAAACACCAAUCAAAACUAAACCCAAAUCCCCCCCACACUUAAAUCACACAUUGCCCUCAAUGUGAUAAUGAAACAGUAAAAAUAAGAAGAAGGACAACGAAACUCCCCUGAAGCUGGUGCCAGCUAUUAGCACCUGUAGUUGGAGGAGGCGGAGCGGAGGUCAAAGGGUCGGGAUCGUGGUUUCACCAUUCUUUCCAAAUUGUACUAAAUAAAUAAAAAUCAAGCAAAGUAAAAAGAAACAAGCAAAGUAACACAGAAGUAUCCAACUAAGGAUGAAUAGAAAUGUCAGGUAGUCCAAACACGUAAAAUUUUCAAAAACGUACUGUAAUAAAAAUAAUAAAAACAUACUGCAAUAAUAAAAUAAGGAAAUAAAAAAAAAUAAUAGAAAGAGAUUGAGGCAGGCGCGUGCAUACGAAGCCAGUGGUGCGAUGAAGGUGGUGGCUGUGAGAGAGAAGAGUUUGCGGCAGCUGGAUCUGGUGGUGCUCAGCGACUGCGGGUGGUGGGCGACGGGUUGGGGUAGCGCGCGCGAGGGGGCGGCGGGCUCCAGGUGGCGCGCGUGAGGAGCGGCGAUGGCGUCGGUGGAGCAGGAGGAAGGAAGGAGACCUGGGGCGGCGGCGGCGGCUCUGGUUGAAGGAACCAGAGAAAAGGGAAAAACAGGGAAAGAAGAAAGAAAGAAAGAAAGAAAGGAAGAAAGAAGAAAGAAAAAGAAAAGAAGAAAAAGAAGGAUUUUUUUUUUUUUUUUAGGUCGUCAAACACCGCGUGGGCGCGCCAAGAUUGGCCUUCGUCCCCUGACCUCAGGAGACACCAACGCCCACGCGCCACGAUUUCACUUCCUGAUUUCAGUAAAGGAAAUAUGAGUACUGAUACUACCCAACGAGUAAAUGACCCAAUGCAAAAGAACCAACUAGAAAGAACAAAACAACUAGAAAUAACAAAACUAAUAUUUGGGUUGCCUCCCAAACUAGCGCCUUUCUUUAAUGUCUUUGGCUAGACAUAGCCCAUAAUUUGCUUAAACCAAGCAAAUUGGGUCCUCCAAAUGCGUCAUCUCUACUCGCUCAACUGGAGCCUCAUCAUAAUAAGGUUUGAGACGAUGACCAUUCACCACAAAUUUCUUCUCCGUCUUCAGACUCUGGAUCUCCACUGCACCAUAAUCAAAGACAUUAGUUACAACAAAGGGACCAAUCCAACGAGAACGUAGCUUACCUGGAAAUAACUUCAAUUUGGAGUGGUAUAGUAAAACUUUUUUGCCCGCAGACGAAUGUCUUCCUAGAGAUCUGUUGGUCAUGAAAGAUCCGAUUCUUCUCUUUAUAGAUCAUUGCAUUCUCGUACGCUUCAUUUCGGAUUUCUUCCAACUCUUGUAAUUGCAACUUCCUUUGAAUUCCGCCCUCCUCGAUAUCCAUAUUGCAUUGCUUGACCGCCCAAAACGCUCUAUGCUCAAACUCUACCGGGAGAUGACAUGGCUUUCCAAAUACCAAUCGGUAAGGGGACAUGCCAAUGGGUGUCUUGUAUGCCGUCCUAUAUGCCCAUAGUGCAUCCUCUAGUCUCACACUCCAAUCCUUUCUAUCGGGUCGGACCAUCUUUUCUAGAAUUGAUUUGAUCUCUCGGUUCGAUACUUCCGCCUGACCAUUUGUCUGAGGAUGGUAGGAUGUAGAGACUUUGUGCAAGACACCGUAUCUCCUAAACAUUGCAGCGAUCAUUUUGUUGCAGAAAUGAGUACCCCGAUCACUUACAAUUGCUCGUGGCAUCCCAAAGCGGACAAAUAUAUUAGACUUAACGAAUUCUGCAACCACUUUGGAAUCAUUAGUGCGGGUGGCCUUUGGUUCUACCCACUUCGAAACAUAAUCUACAGCAAGCAAUAUAUACAAAAAACCACAGGACGAAGGAAAAGGACCCAUAAAAUCAAUGCCCCAAACGUCAAAAAUUUCAACAAAAAUCAUUGGGGUUUGAGUCAUUUGACCCCUACGAGAGAUAUUACCCACUCUUUGACACUUAUCACAUAACUUACAAAAUGAGUAGGCAUCCUUGAAUAGAGUUGGCCAAUAGAAUCCACUCUCUAGCACCUUACGAGCCGUUCUCUUCGGUCCAAAGUGACCUCCACAUGCAAAAGAGUGACAAUAUGCUAGAAUAGAUUGAAAUUCAACUUCACUUACACAUCUACGGAUGAUUUGAUCGGCACCCCGCUUCCAGAGGUAAGGAUCAUCCCAAAUGUAGAACUUUGCAUCGCUCCUCAACUUGUCUCUCUUUGCCUUAGGCCAUCCUGUAGGAAAUUUGUCAGUGACUAGAAAAUUAACAAUAUCUGCAUACCAAGGCAAGGAUGAAUUAAUAGAAAAUAAAUGCUCCUCGGGAAAUGCUUCUCUCAAUGGGAGGUCCUCUUCGACGACUUGUACUCGACUCAAGUGAUCUGCUACCAGGUUCUCUGCCCCUUUCUUAUCUCGGAUCUCCAGGUUGAACUCUUGUAACAAUAAUAUCCACCGUAUCAAUCGCGGUUUUGCCUCUUUCUUGGUCAAUAAAUACCGUAAAGCUGCAUGAUCUGAAAAAAUAAUAACUUUAGCACCAAGUAAAUAAGACCGAAAUUUCUCUAAGGCAAAAACAACUGCUAAAAGCUCCUUUUCGGUGGUUGAAUAGUUCAAUUGAGCUCCGUUCAAGGCUCGAGAUGCGUAGUAGAUAGCAUGAGCUGCCUUUCCUACUCUUUGACCCAAUACCGCACCCACUGCAUAGUCGCUGGCGUCACACAUGAUUUCGAAUGGGAGGUUCCAGUCAGGGGGUUGGAUAAUAGGUGAGGUGGUCAAUAACUCCUUUAACUUAUUGAAUGCCCCCUUACAUGUUUCAUCAAAUUCGAAGGAUACAUCUUUUUGCAAAAGUUGGAACAAGGGUGCUCUAAUUUUUGAGAAGUCCUUGAUGAACCUUCUAUAGAAACCUGCGUGACCCAAGAAAGAACGAACUUCCCGCACACUCGCGGGGUAAGGUAAAGUAGAUAUAACAUCUAUUUUUGCCUUAUCAACCUCAAUACCUGUAGAUGAUACAACAUGACCCAAAACUAUCCCGUGUUCAACCAUAAAAUGACAUUUUUCCCAAUUAAGCACGAGAUUAGUUUCUAUACACCUUACUAAGAUCAAUUUCAGGUUAUCUAGACAGUUUUCAAAACUUUCACCAUAUACACUGAAAUCGUCCAUGAAAACCUCAAUAAUCUUCUCAACAUAUUCUGAAAAGAUACUUACCAUGCAUCUUUGGAAGGUAGCAGGUGCAUUACACAAUCCAAAUGGCAUCCUUCGGUAUGCAAAUGUUCCAAAUGGACAGGUGAAAGUAGUUUUCUCUUGGUCCUCGGGUGCGAUGGCAAUUUGAAAAUAACCUGAAAAUCCAUCCAAGAAACAAUAGUAAGCUUGACAUGCUAGUCGCUCCACCAUUUGGUCAAUGAAAGGGAGGGGGAAAUGGUCCUUUUUCGUGACGGCAUUUAGCUUUCGGUAAUCGAUACACUGUCGCCAUCCGGUGGGCUUUCGAAUUGGUACGAGCUCACCCUCUUGGUUUGAUUCUACCGUCACCCCUGUCUUCUUCGGGACCACCUGUACUGGACUUACCCACGGGCUAUCUGAUAUUGCAAAUAUAAUUCCAACGUCCAGCAGUUUUAAAAUCUCUUUCUUUACGACCUCCAUCAUGAGAGGAUUUAAUCUCCGUUGAGCUUGCCGUACGGGUUUAGAAUUCUCCUCGAGUCGAAUUCGGUGCAUACACACCGCGGGACUAAUUCCCUUGAUGUCGGCGAUGGUCCAUCCUAUCGCCUGCUUAUGUUCCCUAAGAACUCGAAGUAGUUUCUCUUCUUGAACCUUUGAUAAACCCGCGGAGAUGAUCACUGGAAGUGUCUCCCCUUCACCCAAGUAUGCAUAUUUCAGGUGUUUCGGCAGCGGUUUCAGUUCCAAAACAGGUGCCUGCACCACAGAUAGAAGUAACCUUUUGUGAGGUUCAGGUAUAAAAAUGGGUGCGAGGUCAUACCUUGUCUUCGUGGUUGGUAACGUUUGCAACAAUCCAAUCACGCAUUUAAGCUCUUCACUCAACUCUACUCCAGAGGUUGUUUCGGACUCGAAGUGCCUGGUCAGAACGACCUCUAGCUCAUCCCUGCCUUCAAUUUCAAAAACCUCCUGUAUAGCAGGGUCAAUAACAUUUACCGAGAAAACAGAGCCAACAUUUGAAUCGGAUGGAUAUUUCAUGGUCUCAAAGAUGUUAAAGUGGACAAUCUCACCAUCAAAUUCCAUAGACAAAGUACCCUUAUUAACAUCAAUUUUGGUUCGGGCUGUGCUCAAAAAGGGUCUACCUAACAACAAAGGUGACGGAUCACGGGAGUGUUCAUCCUCCAUGUCGAGCACAAAAAAAUCAGCUGGAAAAAUCAAUUCAUUAAUUUUUACCAAAACAUCUUCAAUCAACCCGUCAGGGUAUGCAUUGGUCCUGUCAGCUAGUUGGAUUAUUAUUCCAGUUUCUUUCAAAUGGCCUAAGUUCAAAGAAGCAUAAAUAGAUUUCGGCAUGACAUUAAUCGAUGCUCCUAGAUCUAACAUGGCCUUUCCAAUCAAAGUAUUACCUAUCCUACAAGGAAUAGUAAACAUACCUGAAUCUCCGCAUUUUGGUGGAAGUUUCCUUUGUAGAAUUGUCGAAACAUUCUUCCUAACUAUAACUCGUUCAUCCCCUUUCAACCGCUUGCGAUUGGCACACAGGUCCCUCAAAAAUUUUGCGUACCUGGGUACUUGUUUAAUCGCAUCCAGUAGGGGUAUGUUGAUCUCCACCUUGCGAAAGAUCUCCAGGACCUCUUUUUCCUUGUCUUGCUUCUUUGGUUUCUCUAACCUGCUAGGAAAGGGAGGUGGAUUAGUUUUAGUUGUAGGAAUUGGGUUCGAGGGUACCUUUACAUUUUUGUUGUCUGUGCCCUCCUCUUCCAAUUCUUUUUCAAUCCGUUCCUCGUCCUUGUCUUUAGGAAUCACCGGUUCGGGUCCUUGAACUUCCUUGCCACUCCUUAAGGUCAUUGCACUUACAUUCUUUGGAUUUGCCUCAGGUUGAGAUGGCAAUUUUCCUUGAACUUGGGACUCCAAACGGUUGAUUGUUAUAACCAUUUGAUUCAUUUGAUUUUGCAAUGAUUGCACCUGUCCCAGUUGAUUUCUCAUGCUUUGCAGGUCUGAAUCCGUCUUUUGUUGAUUGGCAAGUAAUUGCUUCAUCAUUUCUUCCAUGGACGGACUUGAGUUUGAAGGGGGUGGUGGUGGUGGUGGGCGAGGAUGAUACUGCUGUUGGUGUCCUUGCUGUCUAUUUGGCACAAAGUUAGACUGCCUAUUUCCUCCAUAACUAAGGUUGGGGUGAUCCCUCCAACCAGGAUUGUAGGUGUUUGAGUAUGGAUCAUAUGGCUUUCUUGGCGCGGGCGCGUGGCCAGCCAUGUUCACCUGUUCUGCAGUUUCUUCUUGAACCAGUGGACACAUUUCCGUAGGAUGACCCACGGCAGUGCACACCCCACACACUUUGGCUUGUGAAGCAUUCCCCACAGCUAAUUGUCUUACAAAAGAUGUUAAUUCGGAGAUCUGCUGUUGGAUAGAGGACGUUUCCACCUCAUUCACCCUGCGCGUCGGGAUGUCCUCUCUUGAACCAAACUGUUGUGAGUUCUCAGCCAUCCCUUCAAUCAACUCCCAUGCUCCUCGAAGGGUUUUGUUCACCAACGCCCCUCCACUUGCAGCAUCGAUUAUGCUUCUGUCCCUGAAAAGUAAUCCCUCAUAGAAAUAUUGGAUGAGCAGUUGCUCACUUAUCUGAUGUUGAGGGCAUUUGGUGCACAGUUUCUUAAACCUCUCCCAGUACUCAUAGAGUGACUCGCCUGGGUGUUGUUUGAUGCCACAUAUCUCUUUCCUUAGGCUCGCAGCUCGAGACGCCGGAAAGUACUUGUCCAGAAAUUUUUUCUUCAAUUGAUCCCACGUGGUGAUACUACCAGGUGGUAGGUAGUAGAGCCAGUCUUUUGCGGAGUCCUUCAAAGAGAAGGGGAAAGCCCUUAUCUUUAUUUGCUCUUCUGUAAUUCCCGGAGGCUUCAUACUGUUGCAAACGACGUCGAACUCUUGCAAGUGCUUGUAGGGCUCCUCACCUGGUAGACCAUGAAAAGAUGGCAAGAGAUGAAUUAGACCAGAUUUUAGUUCAAAGGGAGUGUCAUCAUUUAAAUUUGGAAAAGUAAUGCACAAGGGCUGCUGAUUUAAAUCAGGAGCAGCCAACUCCCUUAAUGUUCGUGCAUUUGCCAUAGUGACUUCCUCUUGGUCUGAAUCACUCGAAUUGUCACCAGACAAAUUUGUCGGCUCAACCUCUGGAUCAAGUCCCUGAGGUGCAAUACCGUAUUGCUCUUCUCUGAGCUGCCUGGUUUCUUUCCUCGUUCUACGCGCGGUCUUCUCUACUUCAGGGUCGAAAACUAAUUCGCCUGUACGAGAAGAGCGAGACAUAAACUAGAAAAAAAAUACCAGAAAAUUAGAACAAAAAUGAACUUAAAAAGAAACAAAUAAUUAACGCCAGUCCCCGGCAACGGCGCCAAAAAUUGACAGGUGUCGAGCCUGUGCAAUAAUAAAUACCUACUCGAGAAAAAUGAAUUUUCUGUGUAUAGUAGUGAGUAGGGUCGAAUCCACAGGGAUUGGAAAAAAAAUUCGAUUCUUUUCAAGUUCGGGACACGGGGGAUUUUUAUCAGAUAAAACUAAAAAUAAAUAAUUAAACAAUUUAACUAAAAAUAAUUAAACAAUUUAACCAAAGAUAAAUAAUUAAUUAAUACAAUUGUAAAUAGCAAUUAAAUAAAUAAUAAAUAAAUUCUAGCCAAGGAUACAACUACGCAGACACAGUCCAUUCAUCCGAUCAUUGAUGCAAAGAAGGUUCACUUAAUUUAAUUAAUAGGCUAGUUAUAGUCGCCGAUAAGCUCUAACGACCAGCUUUUCCUUAAUUUAUUGAUAACCAAGGUACGACCGUUGAUUACCUCUAACUAGGAAAUACUCCUAGGUACGACCGUAGGAAUUAAUUUCCUAAUUGCAUUAAAAACUAGAAAAGCCUAACCCAAAUUAAUAACACGCUACGAGGGUUAUUUAAAUCAGAUUGCAUGUUCUCCUAGUAUGUGAAAAUACUAGUUGCCACUAAUAUUAACCAACUAAACAAUUACGGAUUUAAUUGAUUAAUUUGACAAGAGAUUAAAAAGUCAAAUUGCACAUCGGGCCCUUGAUAUCCAAUUAACAAAAUAAUCCCAUGGAAAUUAAAAUAGAAAACAUGCAAAUAUUAACAAAUUAAGGAACAUGUAAAAUUAAUUAGAUCUCACAGAUAUUUGGGACUGCGUCUUCGCGUUGAUCCUUGACUAGAGGAGAAAAUUAGCCACGCCUCAUAAGAAAAUCUUCACACAAUUCAAUUGAAUUUAAAGACAUCAUCUUUCUUCGAUAAUUGAGAGAGUGAAUAACAAAACUCUCAGAAGAGAAUAAGAAAAUUGCACACUAGAAUUCAACAAACCAAAACAACUCCCUAUUCUCUCCUCUGGAACAUCCCUCGGAGAGAAAAACUAAAACUCCUCUUCCCAGACGGAAGAGAGGAAGAAAAACUCACCCCCGAAAUGUGCGGCUCUCCCCCGCAUAAAAACAAGCCAAUUCCAAACUUCACUCCACGCUCACAAAAGAAAAACAUUCCUUCCUUACCUAAUCAACUCCACCGAAAACAAAAGCAAAGCCAACUAUGGUUUGUCGGUUCCCUUUGACCAAGUGCACACGUUCACAAAUAAGAGAGCAAACCAAAAAUGUGCAAAGAAAGCACACUUAAGACAAUACAACUUAUUUGCGGUCCCCACUAACUUUGACAUGUUGUCUAGCCAAAUUGAAUUCCCAAAUGCAAUUCCAUUCUUCUACGUUGGUUUGCACCAAAAUUGUGCAAAGUUCCACAAUAAUCUUCUCAAGAGGUUUCUGCUCCCAUUUCUGAAAUUAUAUCCAAAUACCAAAUAUAAAUAUAUAUUGACAAUUAAAACAAAUUAAAGCAAUAUUUGGCAAGGAUAAAAAGGAAAAUUAACAAUAAAAUUACUAACAAUUAACAUCCUAUCAGAGGCGGUCUAUAUACAAACAAGAAUUCAUUUUACUACAGUUAAAUUAGCUGAAGGUGCAAGACUAAUUAAUCGAAAAGUAUAAUGUGUAUCUAAAAGGUUGCAUAUAGAGUAGGCUCACUCUGUAGAGUUGAUGUAGCUCUCAACCAGUCUAAAUAGCUGAUGAUUCAAAGCUGAUGCAGCUGAGGGAACAAUAUCAGAGACAUCAAGGAAUUCAUUUGUCAGUAUAAUAGUUCCAAGUGCGUGCACCAGCUCUACUAGCUUCUGUAAUGCCAUUGUAAUUGCAACAAAAUACAAAUUUUCCAUGCACUAGGCUUUUGUCCAAGCAACCAUCAAGACACAGCCAACAGAACAAGCUAUUAGCAACUCAAAUUUUAUCAAUCAUUACAUGUACUAGAGCUUAAUUGGCAAGGAAGAAGUGAAUUUACUUGGCUUUUAAUUCGUUCUUUAUCCUCUAGGCAGUCUUUGCAUAUACACCAGAGGGAAUUUUGUCCCAUUCAAGCUGAAUGUAUUAACUGCAUUUCCCUGCAUCACUAAUGGUUAGAACAUAAAUAAAGCAAGGUGUUCUGGAACAACGUCAAAUCAAACAUAAAACCAAUUUAUGCAUGACAAGGGAAGAAAUUAAGGUCAAUACAUACUGCUAAAUUUACUCCAUUACCAAGGACAACUUCACCCAUGAUCUUGCGAUUUGUAGUAGUUGCUGCGAUGGUGAACAACCAUGGUGCUGUACUUGUAAUCUGUCCUUGUACAAGACCAUUAUUUCCCGCCGAAUUUACCGUAAGUAUUCCCUUCUGUGCUGCAUGAAAAGAUCCAAUUGCUAUAGAAUUAUCUUUCAAUCAACUGGAUAAUUGAAACCAAUUAAAAUUGUAAUAAUGUCUACUCCAUCGGCUAUAGCAUCGUUGAAUCAAGCCAAUAUAUCAGCAUCAUCACAGCAUGGAAAAGCACAAGCAUUGUAUACAGCAUUCCUUGCUGCAGGCGCCCCUCCUCGUAUAGUACCUUCUACAAUUCCAUAGUAACUCACAUCCAUGACAAUGUUUCCUGCAGCUGUGUGCGUUCCAUUAUGACCCUAUAAAUCUGUUGCAGAAUCUGAUACAUGGUACCGAGCUCCAAUAAUUUUUCUGUAGACAUGUACACAUCAAAAUGAUAAUCGAAGUUUCCUAUUCAACAUUUCCUAUGUAACUAACAAAAAGUAGAAACUUUUCCUGUUACACAUGAAAUCAAUCCCGCCGUAACACACUCCUUUCCAUUUGCUGGGAAUAGGACCAAAACUUUGUUCACGAAAACUCUCUGAUUCUGGCCAAAUUCCAGAAUCAAGUAACUCCUAUGACUAUAUCACUCUCAAAUGCAAGAUUUCGGGGGGCACUUAUAGGAAAACAAAUAAAGUCGCACGAUGCUGUUGUAUAAGUUGAAGCCUUUUGCUUGGAAAUAUAGAAACCACAUGAUCAUGAGCUGCAAAUUUAGUUAAGAACUCACACAUUAGUGGAAGAUUAAUAGAAUUCAAAAAUCAGGAAAGUUGAAAGAGACUAACGUUGCCAAAUUGCACAGAACAGCCAACUUUUGCUGCUCUUGCUUUGUAAGGUAGGCUGAAAAUCCAUUGAAACUCCUAGUAUAACUUCUUCCCAAGAUUUCCCCUUGAUAAUUUCCACGACAUAAAGAAAAAGAAAUAAAUAAUGUUAUAAAAAAGUUUUUUCUAUGCAUCAAUUGGUAUGUAGUAUAAGUUUGUGGGCACUGAAUAUAUGCAUUAAUUGCUAUCUUAAGCUUCUUCCAGGAUACUAACAUGGUGCUCGGAAGCAGAAUAUUUUCUUUCAGGAUGCGAUUCCACGUAAACUGUAAACCUGUCAUCAAGUAAAAGAAAACUAUCAUUUCUUGACUUGCUGCAUGUUAUUGAAUUUGAACGCUUCAGUUAUGCGACAGUUAUAUUUAUCGUGUAAAAUGUUGUAGUUAUGAUCACUACAUUGAAGUACAAUGCUGCAAAUUCAAUAUAUUACCCGAUACCCAUUAAUCAAAGAAAAUUAAUCUUUUACAGAAAUGAAAAGCGAAGAUAUCAAUAGCAAUAUUGCCAAUACUGACGGGCAACAUAUCCAGUUCUAUAGGCAACAUUAGCCAUUGUUUUCAAGAAUUACAUUUUCUAGCUCCAACUAUAUAUUGUUACUUAUGUUCCUUCAUGUAUGUUAAUCUCUAUUAGUACAUUUUUUCAGACCUAAAAGAUUUCUGGGUCGUACAAUACGAAAUCAAAAGGUGAUGUGUACAAAUGGUCCUUAGAAAGGGUAAGCCUGUCUCUUAGGACUUAAAUACAAGGAUCAAAGAUGCAUGCCCCAUUUUGUGCAUAAUUAAUAUCAAAAACCAACCUGAUUUGUUUAGAAAAGUUUUGUUAAAACAAUGCAACAUUACCUUUAGUCAAAAAUCGUGGGCUAUUGUUGCAUUUAUGAGUUACAUAAAAGUCAUCCAUAUAGGCAGAAGAAAUCCAGCAUUUCUUGCGGCUUUGGAGUGCUUCGUUUUACUCUUUUAUUGGCAAUGGACAAGCAGCCGAAUGUGGGAAUUGUGGGUGACAGAUCAACUUGGUUCAUGCUUGUAUCUUGAGCCAGAUUUGCUUGUGAAGUUCACCGAAUUUUCCGGCAAUUGGGCAUGAAUUAGAAGAGAAAACUUACAGGUGCAUAUAGGAUCCUUGCUAGCAUCAAUAGCGAUCUCAUUUGCCAUUCUUGGCAUCCCAUUCAACGAAAAUAAGACAAGCUCAAUUAGAGUUGAAGCUCUUAGAAUGUUCUAAUAUUUAGAAUGUAGUUGAGUGAGUGUUUGAACAGAUAUCUCAAGAAUGAGACUCUGAUAAGAUUAGAGCAAGUAUGCUCAAGAUUUGAAGCGAGGCUCAACUUAGUAAUGUUUUGUGCAAGAUUAUUUGUGAGUGUUGUUAUUUUAUACAUUUUUUAGUGUAAUGUAUUAUUUGUUUGCCUUUAUUAUCAGUAGAUUUAAUCCAUUAAUUUGGUAAACCCACCACAAUCUAACAAAGUUCUGUUACUCGGGGAGUCCCAUGGUCACAGUACUUGUACAAAAUAAAGAUUCCAACAUAGAUAUGGGAGGGCAAAAUAGAGAGUCUGAAAAACAUAAUAGAAAAGCUUGAGAAGGGAAGUGGACAAUGCGCCAAUGAGAACAAGAAAAUAAAGUUGUGACUCAAAUAUUUAAGAUCACAACAAAGUUUUCAUUUCAAUUGUUCUAAAUGCAACAACGAGCUGCAUGCAUUUUGACUUGUCUUGUUACAUUGACUAAUAUUUCUGAGGUCGUAAUUAAAAUGUGUAAUACCUUUCCUAUUUCGGAUGGUAUGAAUUAUGCGUUAUGUUUCUUGUAGGGAGAUGUAAGUUGGCCUACCUACCUUCCAUUUUUGCCUAUAAAAGAAAUUUUUUGUUCAAUAUAAUACUGGAACUAAUAAGAAUUAGAAAAGUAUUUCUAUUUCCAGUCAAAGAAAAUCGAGACAUCAAAACCAGAAACCUUAUUGUAACUUGAAUGUUUGUGAUGUCUUUUGUAAGCAUUAUUUUCCAUUCAAUUGGUACUAGCUCAAUUAUCUUUAGUAAGGUUCUAUUUGAUAAUUUAAUUCAGCAUUUAAAUUUAAUGGGUUCAAAUCAUAACAUGUUCAAACGCAUUUGAUAACUAAAAAUAAGACAUUUGAAUUAAUUAAAUGAUACUGAAUUUUGCAAAACUUAUUUAAAAAAUAAGUGAUAAAUUAUUCAAGUAUCACUUAAUGUGAUAUACAUUUAAAUGUUUCAAUUUAGUACUUAACAAUUCAGUAAAUUAACGAAUUUAGACUUUAGAUUUCAAAUUUCAUUUUUCAAACUUUAGUUUUAUCAAACGUACCCUAAGAGUGUGUUUGAUAAAACUGAAAUCUGAAUCUAUUAAAUUAUUGAAUUGUUACGUAUUAAAUCUAAUACAUUUGAUUGCAUAUCACAUUUAAUAAUAAGUAAAUAACUUAUCAUUUAAUUUUGGAAGUAAAUUUUGCCUAGAAAAUUUAAUGUUAUUUAAUUAAUUCAGAUAUUAAAUUUUUUGUUAUCAAACGAUUUGAAUAUGUUAAAAAUUGAAUCCAUCAAGUUUAAAUGCGAUAUUGGGUCAUCAAACGGAAUCUAAGUCUAUUGAAGAGGAUUGAACCAAUAAAUUUGAUGACUUUCAGUUUAACAAUAUAUUUAACAAAUUAUCACUGCCCAAUAAGGGCCCAUCUAAAAACACUUGAAAUAAGUGCAUGCUUAUUUGGUGAUUUCCGGUUGGGCUCCCGCUGCUCUUGCAGUGUCCAUUAACGAAUUCCUAUUGUCAAAUUUGGGUCGUAUAUCCACCAGGCCAUGGAAUUUAUUUACAAAGGGAAAUUCUUCUAAGCUGUGAAUUUAAUUAGUAUAACGAGAAAUAAUUUGAGAAAAUUACAACAAAGUACAAACCAUAUGUGCAAGUUUUCUCAAACACAUACCAAUUAUGAAUAGCUUAAGAAAUGAUGAAUAACUCAUCUUUGUUCAGCUUUUCCUUUUGGCCCAUUGAUAAAUCUUCUUUGUUCCCUCAAAAAAAAAAAAAAGGAAAGAAAUAAACUUCAUCUUUUUAAUUAGUGAAUAAAAUGUCUAUAAAGAGAAAAAGAUAAUUAAAUAUCUUAAUACUAAAACAUUUUAAUACUUAAGAAGUUUAAAAAAUUUUGGUAUCAGUUAGUGAUAAUAAUUUCUCCUAACGCAUUCUUUUAUCUACUACAAAAAAAAAACGUUAUAACUUAUUAUAAAAACCAUCCAAAAUCACAUUGAUUCUUAAGUAUUUCCCUUUCUCCUUGUAAGGAAUGAAUUGCAUCCAAAUCAGGUUCCUUACAAGUGGCUAGCACCCUAAUGGCCUAAUCCAUGGAAGCCAUAUUACAAAAGUGGACUACAAAAGCUAGGGGAAUAUAAUUUCCCAUACUCCUUAUUGUAAUCAUUCCCAAUUUACCUUGGCAUGUACUGGUUUGUUACAAGACUUCAAUCACUGGCUCUGAACCUCUGGCUAGUAUGUAAUGGCAGAUUAUCUACUAGGAUCAGAGGCAGUUACUAGAUUGGAAAUCAAUACCAGACUAGUAGUGCCCUUUAUCUUGUUGCUUUUGUCUCAUUGGGUUCUUGAAAACAAAAGGCUAGAGAAUCACACCGGGCACAAGUUGCAGUAAAUGAAUUUUGAUUGAACAUGAAUUUAGCAUUUUACCCACCUCAAAUGCUAUUCUGGAAAGUUGCCAAAACUGAAGUUUAAGCUCAAAAAACUGCUUGAACACUGCCCCAAACAGGGCCUUUUUUUUUUUUUUUUUUUAAAAAAAAAACUACUUGAGUAAGUUCUACGAAAUCCAGGACUAGAAACUCUUGUUCCACUUGAUACGCUGAUUGUCUUGAUGCCAUUUGCCUAACUUCUGAGUGGAUCGGGACUGGAGAAGGAAGACAAACGCAUGUGUGGCCUUCAUUUAUGCCCCGUCUGCUGCUUCAGAAUCUAGUUGCAGUUCCCGUCUAAGAGGAAGAAUCUAAAGGACAAAAAAACAAGCAGAAGACUUUAGUAGUCAUGAAAUUAUCAUUGGUCUCCUCAGGGGUGGAAUUUGACAAAAUCCUGAAUACUAACAUGUUGAUAUUGGCUACCCAGAACAGAAAGUUAUCGCUAAAACAAUUAUAAGCUAAGACCAUCAUUUCUAAUUUUGAACUUACUUUUCAGUGUAUCUAAUUCUUAUUUGUAUAAUUGCUAAUUUUUUCUACUAAUUAAGUCAAAAGAGAAUUGUUUUGAAUGAUCUUUUUUCUUUUUUGAAAAUUGUAAUAUAAUAUUUUGAUCAUAAGCGCAUUUGAGAUUUUCAAAGAUGUUAGAUAGUGAUUCUUGAAAACAAUGAAAAACUCCACCCAAACAGAUAAGCCAUGUCUGUUUCUUUUUCUAUCUUUCUUAGAGGUAAUCCACGAAUUGGACACUAAAGAAGAAAACAUUGUAACAUUGACAUAUUAGAACACUGAAGUUCACAUUACCAGAAGAAUAAAAAAUGAGGGAUGAGAGCUGACUGAAAUUAUGCAGGAGGAUUAUGGAGAGAUAAGCAUCUUCGAAUCAUUCCUAGAAUACAAGACAAGACCAUCAACAUCUCUGAAAUUUCUCAUGUAGAAAAUUUGUUAAGAAGAUUAACAUGUACGCGCAAAAUGAUAGCAGCCAAUCGCCCUAUAUAAACCCCCCAAGCUGUGGCAUCUUGAAACCACAACCAGCUACCAGUUCACUUAGAAUUUUUGAAACACCAUGAAGUUCACCUACAUUUUGUCCGUUUUGGUUUUGUGCCUAACUUUAUACUUAACUUUCGCCAAUGCUGCAAAUUUCAACAUCACAAACAAAUGUACCUACACAGUUUGGGCAGCUGCUUUCCCAGGCGGUGGCAGGCGGCUCGACCGAGGCAAAUCAUGGUCCCUAAACGUGGCUCCUGGCACCACCCACGCUCGCAUUUGGGGCCGAACCAAUUGCAACUUUGAUGCCAAAGGCCAAGGCCACUGUCAAACAGGUGACUGCAAAGGGCGCCUCGAGUGCCAAGGCUAUGGAAGUCCUCCAAAUACGAUAGCUGAAUUCUCCCUAAACCAGCCUAACAACUUAGACUACAUCGACAUCUCCAACAUUGAUGGAUUCAACAUCCCAAUGGAGUUCAGCUCUGUAACUCCGUGCCGCGUUAUCAAAUGUUCAGCACCUAUUGUUGAUAAGAACUCCAGGUGGAUGCAACAGCCCCUGCACUGUUUUUAAAAGAAAUGAGUACUGCUGCACCAAUGGCCCAGGAAGCUGUGGCCCGACCGACUUCUCCAGGUUCUUUAAGAGCAGGUGCCCUGAUGCUUAUAGCUAUCCUCAAGAUGAUCGCACAAGCUUGUUUACUUGCCCAAGUGUUACAAAUUAUAGGGUUGUCUUCUGCCCUUAAAGAAAUCCAGAUAUUUAAGGUUCUUGUGACAGCUUAUAUGCUCCAAGAACUUCACUAGAAAAAUAAAUUAUGAAGAAAUAAACGCAUAUGUGAUCCUUCUGGCAAUGGUUCACUGGAAUUGGAAUAAAUUUGAGCACAUAUAGCAUUGUGCGAUUUGUCUUCUUUAUCAGCUUUUUGGCUCUUUAAACAACUUAUGAACUAGAUCACGAGUUCAAAACUAAUGAAGUUUUACUAAAUUAAUCUGUAAGAAGGAUUUACAGAUCUCUAGUUUUAAAAUAGACUGUCAAAAUACUUUGUUCCCCGCACUUCAAAAAUUUGAGUCAUGUUUAGGUUUAACUUACAUAGGAGUAUUCAUUUGUUCUUUUUUUUUUUGGAAUUCAGACUAUCUCUCCAGUCAAAUACUAAGAUGUCAUAUAAAUGAAAAUAAUUGUUUUAAGUGUACUACACAAUCAUACUUUAUGUAUAUAAAUGUUACCACGAAAUCCAGAGUAAGAGAAGUUUGUCUUACAAAUAUUGAAGAAAUGGGAGCUUGGUGUAAAUUCAAAACAAAAAUGGGGAUUUCCAUACUAAGGUAAACCCCAAAACAAUUGAAAAUGAUCAUCUCAUGAAAUAACAAAGAUGGUGAUAUGAAAGUUUACUAAGUAAGAUAAAGGUGCGAUUAAGGAGCUCAAGUGAUGAGGAAACUCGUAGAUGCCAAAUUGAUAAUUUGAUGCACUCAUGCUAAAUAGUACUAAUUCACUCCUAAAAGCUGGAUUUGGAGCCACUGCUAGCAGUUCCAUGAAGUUCAGUUCGAUUGUUAUAUUUAUUACGUUAUAUUGUUAUGCUCUUGGAAAAAGUAAUAUGCAUGAACGAAAAUACUUGGUAUGUAAUGAAUACAACAUUAUCAUGUAGUUGUCUACCAAAAAUUUAAAUAUACACAAUAAAAUAAUGCAUAUCUAUUCAAAUUAUGUAUCAGAAAAGAGUUAAAUGUUACUAUAAGGAUAAAAAAUUAAGUGAUUAUAUAUUUGUUUUGAACUAUAUUUUUAGGAAAAUCAUAAUAUAGCAUCUUAUUAAUAACUGCUUUUGUGAUAUUAAAAGAUGUUAGAAAUAAUUCCUGAAAUUAAUCUGGUUAAAAAACGCUCCAUUCAAACAGAAAAUUCAUGUCUUUUUUUUUUUUUUUUUUUUCCUUUUUUCUCUUACGUAGAGGUAAUCCACAAAUUGGACACUUACGAAAAAGCAUUGGAACAUUGAUUGAAAGAACAAUCAAGUUCACAUGAUCAGAUUAAUAGAACAAAAUGAGGGAUGAGAACUGACUGAAAUUAUGCAGGAGGAUUAUGGACAGAUCCGCAUCUUUUGAAUCAUUCCUAGGAUACAAAACAAGACCAUCAACAUCCCUAAAAUUUCUUAUAUAGAAAUUUGUUGAAAUAUCUACACGAACAUGCAAAAUCAUAGCAGCCAAUUCACCUAUAUAAACCCCCUGGCUGUGGCAUCUCCAAACCACAACAGCUACUAGUUGACUUAGAAGGUUUGAAGCACCAUGAAUUUCACCUACACUUUGUCCCUUUUGGUUUUGUGCCUAGCUUUAUACUUAAGCUUCACCAAUAGCUGCAAAUUUCAACAUUAAGAAAAUAAACACAUAAAACAAUUAAACCUUUACCAUGUAUUCUCUUUUACUUAUUGAUCAGUCAUAUCAUGAAAUAGAAAAGGGUUGUAGAAUUACUUAUAGAAAUAUAUUCUAGGGUAAUGAUAUAUAUUCCAUAUGAUUGAUGAGAAACGAAAAUGACUUGCCUGCCUUUCUUCAUCAGAAGAGUACCUAAUAGCCCCACUAGAAUUGCCAGUACAUAUAAGAAAUAAGAUGCUGUAAAACCAAAAAGAGCAGUGCAGCCACCGUUGGCUUCUAAAUAUCAGCAUAGUGAUUGUUAUGGCUAGAACAACUAACCACCCAAAAGCAUGUUUUAACUUUUCCCUAAAGUUGUGACUUAAAUGUUCAACAUGACAACAGGGUUUUCAUUUCAAUUGUUCUAAAUGCAAGAUCGAGCUGUAAUAUAUUUUUUUCCUUUUAUUUAAUGUAAGUGAAAGCAUUCAAAUUUACGACCUCGUACUUGCACUCUCUUCCCCUGAACUAUCCAACCGAUCCCAUCCCCUGAGCUGUAUUUAUAUUGACUUGUCUUGUCAUAUUAAUUAAUAUCUUUUAGCGUUGGAAAGGAAAUACAAAAAGUUUAAACAAUAGUGAUAAUUGAGUAAUUUUUCUGAGAUCUGAAUUGCAAAGUGCAAUACCUUGAAGGUGUAAAUUGACCUACGUACCCACAAGGUGUAAAUUGACCUACGUACCCACCUUCCAUCUUUUCCUACUGCUGGACAAAUAAAAUAAUAUUUCUUUGCUCAAUAUAAUAGUGGAAUUGGUAAGAAUUAGAAGAGUAUUUCUAUUUCUAGUCAAAGAAAAUUGAACAAAUUUGACAAAUUUCAGUUUAAAAAUAUUGGACAAAUUAUCGCUGCCCAAUACGGGCCCAGUCCAUCUAAAGCACACUUGAAGCAUAGAGCAGAUUGAUUUGGUUGUUUCCAGUUGGGCUUCCGGUCCUUGAUCCGUGUCUAUUAACGAAGUUGUAUUGUCAAUAUUGGGUCGUAUAAUCCACCAGCCCAUGGAAUUUAAUUUACAAAAAUAAAUUUCUUUUAAGUUGUGAAUUUAAUUAGUAGAACGAGAAACAAUUCAGAAAAUUAGUAUAAAGUACAAACCAUAUAGUACAUGUUUUUCUCAAUAAAAUACCAAUUAUGACUAGCUUAAGGAAUUGAUAAAUAAAUAACCUUUGUUCAGCUUUUCCUUUUGGGUGAUUCCCAUUAAUAAAAUCAUCUUUGUUCUCUCAAAAAAAAAAAAAAAAAAGAAAGAAAGAAAGAAACGAACUCCAUCCUUUUAAGUGGUAAAUAAAAUGAAUACAAAGAAAAAUAUAAAUAAAUAUCUUAACACUGCAAAAAAGAAAUUGAUAUUGAAACAUACUGAUAUUUAAGAAGUUUUAUAAAUUUUGGCAUCACCUACAGAUAAAAUGAUAUCUCUGUAAUGUGCCUUUUAUUUACUAUAAAAAAAAAAAAUACGUUACAGAGGUUCCAGUGGCAAAGGUAGAAAUACUUUUCAGUUGGGGCACGAAUUAACUUUCGCAAUUUUUUCCAAUUUACAAGUGGCCAAUAAUAACAAAAGAUUAUUUUUUUUUAAAAUGAUCAAAUCUAAUAGACUUGAUAAACUACCACUGCUUUGUUGAUGAAAAAUACAAAGUUAUGGACCAAGGCAAAGUAAAUAUGCAAGCAAAAGUACGUUGGAACUCGGCAUCUAAAGAUUUGCAGCUAUUUGCUUUCUUCUUUGGUUUACUUUUUGAUAAAUUACAAUAAUGACUAUGCUAUAUAAUAACUAUUACAAAAUCCAGCCAAGGCACAAUUUAGAAUUUUCAAGAAAUCUCAAAACUAUUCUAGGUACCUCUUUUAGGUCAAUAGGGACACGUGCCCUACUGGCCACAACGUAAAUCUACUCUUUUUUUUUAGGUAAAAAAAAAAAAAAAUUGGUUGAAUUUGACUUCGAUCAUUAUCACAAGUCAAAACCUGUUUUCGGAACUGUAAGUCGCUUACACAAGUUCUUACAGAUCACCCAUUUUUUUAGUAAAAAAAAAAAUAAAGUUUGGUUGAAUUUGACUUCGAUCAUCAUCACAGGUCAAAACCUGUCUUCAGAACUAUAAGUCGCUUACAGAAGUUCUUACAGAUCACCCAACAACAGAGAUCUCACAAUGUAAAUCUACUUAUAGGUUCUUAGUUCGACGAUCUUAAGCUUUCCUUUGCCAUAAUAAAGCAUGAACUACAUUUAAACUGCACUCCUUACACUGGGCACAAGUUGCAGUAAAUGAAUUAUGAUUGAAUAUGAAUUUAGCAUUUCAGGCUUUUAGCAACCACAAAUGCUAUUCUGGAAAGUUGCCAAAACUAAAGUUUAAGCACAAAAAACUGCUUGAACACUUCACGAAACGGCCCAAAUUGGGCUUUUAAUUUUUUUUUUUUUUUGUCCAAUUACUUGAGUAAGCUCCACGAAAUCCUGGACUAGAAACUCUUGUUCUACUUGACAUCCUUAUUGAAUUGUCUAAGCUUCUUGAAGCCAUUUGCCUAACAUUCGCUGGUCUCAGACAAACAGACGUAUGGUCUUGAUUUGUGCCCAUUCGGCUGCACCAAAAUCCUGUUGAAACUCUAGACUAAGAGGAAAAUUCCAAAGAAAAAAAAAAUGAAAACAGAAGACUUUAGGAGUUAUGAAAUUGGCAUUAGUCUCCUUGGGUGUGGAAUUUGAAAUCAUCAUCAAUACUAACAUGUUGAUAUUGACUACCCCAUAACAGAAAGUUAUCGCGAAAAUAAUUAGAUGCUAAUACCAAACGUUUUAAUCUCUAACCAUCAUUUCUUAUGUUAAACAUAGGUUUUAGCGUAGCUAAUCAAUAUAUGUACAAUUGCUAAUUUUUUCCACUAAUUAAGUCAAAAGAUAAUUGUUUUGAACGGUGUUUUCGCGAAAAUUCCAAUAAAAUAUUUUGUUAAUAAACACAUUUGAUAUUUUCAGAGAUGUUAGAUAGUGAUUCCUGAAAACAGUGAGGUUGAAAAAACAAUUCAACCAAACAGAUAAGCCAUGUCUGUUUCUUUUUUCUAUCUUAGAGAAAAUCCACGAAUUGGACACUAAAGAAAAGAAAUUGUAACAUUGAUAUAUAGAACAGUCAAGUUCACAUCACCAGAAGAAUAAAAAAUGGGGGAUGAGAUUAUGCAGAAGGAUUAUGGACGGAUAAGCAUCUUUGAAUCAUUCCUAGAAUACAAGAAAGGGCCAUCAACAUCUCUGAAAUUUCUCAUGUAGAAAAUUUGUUAAGAAGAUUAACAUGUACACGCAAAAUGAUAGCAGACAAUCGCCCUAUAUAAACCCCCUACCUGUGGCAUCUUGAAACCACAACCAGCUACCAGUUCACUUUGAAAGUUUGAAACACCAUGAAGUCCACCUACACUUUGUCCCUUUUGGCUUUAUGCCUAACUUUAUACUUAACCUUCACCAAUGCUGCAAAUUUCAACAUUGUAAACCAAUGUACCUACACAGUUUGGGCAGCUGCUUCCCCAGGCGGUGGCAGGAGGCUCGACCGAGGCCAAUCAUGGUCCCUAAACGUGGCUCCUGGCACCACCCAAGCUCGCAUUUGGGGCCGAACCAAUUGCAACUUUGAUGCCAAUGGCCAAGGCCACUGUCAAACAGGUGACUGCAACGGGCGCCUCGAGUGCCAAGGCUAUGGAAGUCCACCGAAUACGCUAGCUGAGUUCGCCCUAAACCAGCCUAACAACUUAGACUACAUCGACAUUUCCAACGUUGAUGGAUUUAACAUCCCAUUGGAGUUCAGCUCCGUUACCAAUUGCCGUGACAUCAGAUGUUCAGCUCCUAUUGUUGAUCAAUGCCCAGCUCAGCUAAGAACUCCAGGUGGAUGCAACAAUCCCUGCACUGUUUUUCACACAAAUGAGUACUGUUGCACCGAUGGCCCAGGAAGCUGUCACCCGACCGACUUCUCCAGGUUCUUCAAGGACAGGUGCCCUGAUGCUUAUAGCUAUCCUCAAGAUGAUCCCACAAGCUUGUUUACUUGCCCAAGUGGUACAAAUUAUAGGGUUGUCUUCUGCCCUUAAAGAAAUCCAGAUAUUUAAGAAAAGUAGAUUAUGAAGAAAUAAACGCAUAUGAGACCCUUCUUGUAAUGGUUCACUGAAAUUGGAAUAAAUUUGAGCACAUAUAGCAUUGUGCGGUUUGUCUUCGUUAUCAGCUUUUUGGCUCUUUAAACUACUUAUGAACUACAUCACUGCUUACUAAAUUAAUCUGUAAGAUGGAUUUACACAUCCCUUGCUCUGACCCCUUCUUGCAUUUCUUCAAUUUCAAAAUUGAGUUACCAUGUUAAUUAGAAAACACAGUGUACAUGGAUUUGAGUGGUUUUAUUAUCCAUUACGAUUUGUAAUAAAAGAUCCUGGAGAAAAAACAAAAUAACAUCAACGCAGACAAAAAAAGUUAUACAAUAAAAUUUUUUAAAAAAAGUAAAAAGUUCUUUUACCCCAUCUAACUUAGCCAUAUAAGAAAAGAAGCUACAAAGUUCAGGAGCAGCCAAGAAUACAUCCACUUUGCAAACAAUUGAUUCGUUUCCUUUUCUUCCACCUUUCAUACUCCUUUCUGUUUUCCUUUCUCUUUUCUUCAAGUAUCAUCCAUGAAUCAGUUCCAGCAAUUUGAGGUAACAAUAAAAUCUAGGCUGUUCGGUGUCAUGGUUCAAUGGAUCUGAUACCACAUCUUGGACGGGUACAAGCUUUGCCCGUCCUCCAUACUACUCUGGCAAAGUUUCUUCGCCUAUGUCCUGGAUAAAACCCCUCCUUUCCUCUUCGUUAAUCACGAUCUUAAUCUGUGUCUAUCAUUUAAAAGUUGCUAGUUAAGUUCGAUUUUAGAAAACACAUGUAUUUCAGAAAAAAACAUGUUUACUCGAAAUUUUUGGAUUUGGAAAUCUAAACGCAAUUAUAUGCUACUUUCUGUACCCAUAAUCAAUGAAUAGAUAUUGAGCGAUGCUGUUAUAUGUUUCUGCAAUCAGACAAAUAUGAGCCACAAAUGGCUCAAAUUAAGUGAGAUCUUAGAAUCUUUGAAUUCAUAGAAACAAACACCGGAUCUUCAAUAACUGCUCUUCUGGUUGAUCACAUAAAGAGGCUAACUAUCUGCGUUCUGUAAUCGAUUAAGCAAUAGUACGAAUGGUUUUUUUUCAACUUAUUGGGAUCAUGAUGUGACUGGAAAGUUUUAUUUCUGUUGAAAAUUGAAUUAAUUAGCUUCAUACUCCUGCAGAACAAUAAUCUUCCAGUGGGAAAACAAGAUGGGAAGAAAUGGAAAGAAAAGAUCACUUUCUGUCGACUUCUACAAUCAAUAAAAAGCUCCAUUAAUUGAAAAAAAAAGAAGAAGAAGAAGAUGGAUCUUGUAUUGGUUCGUUGUCUUUAAGUAUUUCUGCACAAUAUUGUCUUGUUUUGACAAGUGAUAGUCGCACAUAGAGGGCAGUCUCUUGCAAGCCUUUCAAAGCAAGAUACAAGAAAACAGAUAUGCUCGAACAGAGAACUUAAAUUGCAUUUGUUUACUUUGACAAGUUUAAUGGCUUCAUCCUACGUAUGGAUGGAAGCAGUACUUUAGUUAUCAUCUGCCUGCUAAUUUUAAGAAAGAUCUUUCAUAUGUUUAAAUUUGCAGAAAUGGUUGCAUAUCAGAAAUACCUUCUCAAGAGUUGCUUUCUCAAGGAAGUAUGAAACCAUCCUCCAUACACUCACAAAGAACCAGGGUAGAUGUACAAUAUAACACUUGGCUAAGCACUCAGGGUAGCAAGCCAACACAAAUAAGAGAUUCGAAUGUAAUAUCGUAACGAGAAAGAAUUGCACAACACCAAGGUGAAUAGUCAUUGUGUCACGGUAAAACAGAACAAGAAUCUUUCUUGAAUUUGAAUGUAGAAAGAUCUGAUCAUUGUCCUUUUCCAUGGAUCCGAAUUCUAUCUGACCUUAAGUUUAAAGAUCUCAGCCGAUAACCUUAAUGAUCCAUGGUUUGACACGAAAACCAUUUGCCAAUAAUGGUCCUAGAAUUACACUUAAAUUAGGGAUAUGAAGAACCUCACUUGUAAAAUUUAAUGGCAGCAAAGUAAUACUUUUUGAACAGCAUAGAAGUCUACUCGGAGAAACUCAAAUUCAACGGAUGUUUCUGCAUGCUGAUUGAAUUUUCUAAGCUUCAUGAAGUCAUUUGCCUAACUCUUGACUGGGAUCAGACUAGAGAAGGAAGACAAACAGGUGUAUGGUCUUGAUUUAUGCCCAUUCUGCAACUCCAAAAUCUGGUUGAAAUUCUAGACUAAGAGCAAGAAUAUUAAAAAAAAAAAAAAAAGUUACGAUAUUAUCAUUAGUCUCCCCAGUUGUGUGAUUUUGAAAUGAUCGUCACUACCAAAAUGUUGAGAUUGACUAGCGCAUAACAGAAAGUUAUCGCUAAAAUAAUUAGAAGCUAAUAUCAAAUGUUUUAAUCCCAGAUCAUCAUUUAUUAUUUUGAACAUAGAUUUCAUUAUGGCUAAUCAAUUUUUGUAUAAUUGCUAGUUCUUUCCACUGAUUAGGUCAUAAGAUAAUUGUUUUCCACAGUGUUUUUAGGAGAAUUGUAAUAUAAUAUUUUGUUAAUAUUAAGAAAUGUUAGAAAGUGAUUCCUGAAAACAGUGUGGUUGAAAAACACUCCACCCAAACGGAUAAUUCAUGUCUGUUUCUUUUUCUAUCUUAGACAGAGGUAAUAUUGGACACUAGAGGAAAGACAUGUAAGGUUGAUCUUUAAAACGGUCAAGUCUGACAUCACCCGAACAAUAAAAAAAGGGGUAAAAUACACUUUGGGCUCCUGUGAUUUAGCAUUUUUCACAUAAUCUCCUCCCGGUUUCAAAAGUUAUACAUAACUCUCUUAUAAUUUGGAUUAAAGUGUCAAAGUGAAGAAAUUUGCAUUUUAUAAUGGAAUCAACUAAAAUGUCAAAAGUACCCCUAUAUAAAAUUAAAUAUUAUUUAUUUAUCACAAGGGAUUAUGUAUAUAUUUUAAAAAUCAUAAUAGAGUUAUAUAGUAAAAUACUAAACCAUAAAGGAGUUACACGCUGAAACAUAAAAUCAUUUGUCAUUAGACUGUGAUACAUGUUAUGUUAUAUAUUUUGUCACUUCACCCAUUUUAGUUUUUAAACAAAGGUAAUUUAGACAUUUUUAUGGAUUCUAUUAUAAAUGAUCAUUUUUAUUAUUUUAACACUUUAAUUCAAAUUAUGAGGGAUUAUAUAUAGUUUUUAAAACUAUAGGUGGGUCAUAUGAAAAAUUACUAAGCCACAUGGUGAUAAAGUGUAUUUUGCCAAAUAAAAAAUGAGGGAUGAGAGCUGACUGAAAUCAUGCAAAAGGAUAACGGCUAGAUCAGCAUCUUUGAAUCAUUCCUAGCUAGUAUACAAGAUGACCAUCAAAAUCUCUGAAAUUUCUUACGUAGAAAAUUGGUGAAGAAGAUUAAGGUGUACACGCAAGUUAAUAGCAGCCAAUCACCCUACGUAAACCCCUAGCUGUGGCACCUUGAAAACACAAUAGCUACUAGUUCACUUGGAAAGUUAGAAACACCAUGAAGUUCAGCCACACCUUGUCCCUUUUGGUUUCGUGCUUCAUUUUAUACUUAACCUUCACCAAUGCUGCAAAUUUCAACAUUAUAAACCAAUGUACCUACACAGUUUGGGCAGCUGCUUCCCCAGGGGGUGGCAGGAGGCUCGACCGAGGCCAAUCAUGGUCCCUAGAUGUGGCUCCUGGCACCACC